GCGCGUGCGGAAAGGGAGACGGGCUGGCAGUAGAGCCUUGUGCUGGGUGGCGCGAGCUGCGGCUGCUGUGACUUUGGCUCUCACGCGUGGGUGGAGGUGUUUGUGGAGGAUUUCGGAUGGCCAAUCUGGAAAAGAAGCACCCAACAUGACAAUGGGCGUCAUCCUCAUUCUGGCAAUAGCCAGAAACAGGUGCUGGCAACACAUCAGAGUGGAGACCGGUGGGUGUAACCCCUAAAGCCAGAGAGAUCAAUAGGAUAAAUGAGAGAGUGCGUGCACAUGGGAGGAAGAAUGGCCUGGUGAAAUGAUCGCAAGUCAUGCUGUUGCCACUAAGAACGGAGCGUUCCCCAGAUGAAAUGCACCGCGCGGAUGCCGAAAAGCAUGAGAUUUUGCUCCCCGAGCAUCGGAAAAGCCCUCGGACGAUGAACAAGGAUGCCCUGCGAAUGCCCUGCUUGUGGCCCUGCUUGUGUGCUACUGGCUGCGUCCUCGGGGUUGUGGGGUCCCUGGCGGAGCCGCUGGCAACUUCCUGCUCAGAGGUGGCCCGUGGCGGGGCGGGGACACACAACCACAACUGAGCGGUCUCCCCUCCAACAA